rnacentral:rRNA from 1 species
GACGAACGCUGGCGGCGUGCUUAACACAUGCAAGUCGAACGGAAAGGCCCUGCUUUUGUGGGGUGCUCGAGUGGCGAACGGGUGAGUAACACGUGAGUAACCUGCCCCUGACUUUGGGAUAACUUCAGGAAACUGGGGCUAAUACCGGAUAGGAGCUCCUGCUGCAUGGUGGGGGUUGGAAAGUUUCGGCGGUUGGGGAUGGACUCGCGGCUUAUCAGCUUGUUGGUGGGGUAGUGGCUUACCAAGGCUUUGACGGGUAGCCGGCCUGAGAGGGUGACCGGCCACAUUGGGACUGAGAUACGGCCCAGACUCCUACGGGAGGCAGCAGUGGGGAAUAUUGCACAAUGGGCGGAAGCCUGAUGCAGCAACGCCGCGUGCGGGAUGACGGCCUUCGGGUUGUAAACCGCUUUCGCCUGUGACGAAGCGUGAGUGACGGUAAUGGGUAAAGAAGCACCAGCUAACUACGUG